rnacentral:rRNA from 1 species
AGCGAACGCUGGCGGCAGGCCUAACACAUGCAAGUCGAACGAAGUCUUCGGACUUAGUGGCGGACGGUUGAGUAACACGUGGGAACGUGCCUUUAGGUUCGGAAUAACUCAGGGAAACUUGUGCUAAUACCGAAUGUGCCCUUCGGGGGAAAGAUUUAUCGCCUUUAGAGCGGCCCGCGUCUGAUUAGCUAGUUGGUGAGGUAAAGGCUCACCAAGGCGACGAUCAGUAGCUGGUCUGAGAGGAUGAUCAGCCACAUUGGGACUGAGACACGGCCCAAACCCCUACGGGAGGCAGCAGUGGGGAAUCUUGCGCAAUGGGCGAAAGCCUGACGCAGCCAUGCCGCGUGAAUGAUGAAGGUCUUAGGAUUGUAAAAUUCUUUCACCGGGGACGAUAAUGACGGUACCCGGAGAAGAAGCCCCGGCUAACUUCGUGCCAGCCGCCGCAGUAACAC